rnacentral:rRNA from 1 species
UACGUAGGGUGCAAGCGUUGUCCGGAAUUAUUGGGCGUAAAGAGCUCGUAGGCGGUUUGUCGCGUCUGCUGUGAAAACCCGAGGCUCAACCUCGGGCCUGCAGUGGGUACGGGCAGACUAGAGUGCGGUAGGGGAGAUUGGAAUUCCUGGUGUAGCGGUGGAAUGCGCAGAUAUCAGGAGGAACACCUAUGGCGAAGGCGGGUCUCUGGGCCGAUACUGACGCUGAGGAGCGAAAGUGUGGGGAGCGAACAGG